GAUGAACGCUAGCGGCAGGCCUAAUACAUGCAAGUCGAGGGGUAACAUGAGAGCUUGCUCUUGAUGACGACCGGCGCACGGGUGCGUAACGCGUAUGCAACCUACCCAUCACUGAGGGAUAGCCCGUGGAAACAUGGAUUAAUACCUCAUAAUACUUUAACAAGGCAUCUUGUUAAUUUUAAAGAUUUAUUGGUGAUGGAUGGGCAUGCGUUAGAUUAGCUAGUUGGUGAGGUAAUGGCUCACCAAGGCUACGAUCUAUAGGGGGUCUGAGAGGAUGGUCCCCCACACUGGUACUGAGAUACGGACCAG
rnacentral:rRNA from 1 species